rnacentral:rRNA from 1 species
UACGUAGGGGGCUAGCGUUGUCCGGAUUUAUUGGGCGUAAAGAGCGUGUAGGCGGCCAGGUAGGUCUGCUGUGAAAACUCGAGGCUCAACCUCGAGAUGUCGGCGGAAACCAUCUGGCUAGAGUCCGGAAGAGGAAAGUGGAAUUCCUGGUGUAGCGGUGAAAUGCGCAGAUAUCAGGAAGAACACCCGUGGCGAAGGCGGUUCUCUGGGACGGUACUGACGCUGAGACGCGAAAGCGUGGGGAGCGAACAGG